rnacentral:rRNA from 1 species
AUUGAACGCUGGCGGCAGGCCUAACACAUGCAAGUCGAGCGAGCGGCGGACGUGUGAGUAAUGUAUGGGGACUGCCCGAUCGCGGGGGAUAACUAAUGGAAACGGUGGCUAAUACCGCAUACUGUCGGAUAACCCAGAUGGGAUUAGCUAGUAGUUAAGGUAAUGGCUUACCUAGGCGACGAUCCCUAGCUGGUCUGAGAGGAUGAUCAGGCACGUGGGGACUGAGCUACGGCCCAGACUCCUACGGAGGCAGCAGGUGGGGAGAUUGCACAAUGGUCGAAAGCCUGAGGCAGCGACGCCGCGUGGGGUAUGAAGGCUUUGGGGUUGUAACCCUCUUUCGCUAUCGAACGGGUAGGUGGAGAAGAAGCGCCGGCUAACGACGUGCCAGCAGCCGCGGUAAUAC